UCAGUGGUUAGCUAAGAAGAACUUGAGCAUGUUUUGUUGGAAAAAUCAGAGGCUGAGAUUUCCCUGUUCUCCUAUUUCUUUCAAACAAUUUUUAGUUUCGUCUUUCUCAAACCGAGAACUGGAUUAAAUAUUUUGAAAGAUUGGUGAGGCAAGGGCUGUGGAGUUGAUGAUCCCAAGCUAUGCGGUUGGUUUACAAGCAAAGGUCACUGUGGGGGCGCACAAUCAAUCCAUGGAAUAACUAAUGAUGAGGAACAAGUUGAGGCUUUGGCAGCACUUGCAGCUAUUAAGUGGGCAAAAGUUGAAGCAACGCAGAAUCUGCAUUUGAAGGGUGAUUGUUUGAAUGUAGUAAAUGCUACCAAUGGUAGUUUAGGUUAUCUCAAAUGGACAAAUAAUAAUGUAAUCCAGGGAUUACAUGAUUUUUUUUGAAAGUUUUUACAAAUUGGAAAUGCACUUUUGUGCAUAGAGAAUAUAAUAAAGUUGCUAAUAGCUUAGCUAAAAGGGCUAGGAAUUUUAGAGUUGAUGAA